GACGGAGGAUGCAAGCGUUAUCCGGAAUGAUUGGGCGUAAAGCGUCCGCAGGUGGCAGUUCAAGUCUGCUGUCAAAGACCGGGGCUUAACUUCGGAAAGGCAGUGGAAACUGAACAGCUAGAGUAUGGUAGGGGCAGAGGGAAUUCCUGGUGUAGCGGUGAAAUGCGUAGAGAUCAGGAAGAACAUCGGUGGCGAAGGCGCUCUGCUGGACCAUAACUGACGCUGAGGCGCGAAAGCCAGGGGAGCAAACGGG
rnacentral:rRNA from 1 species